GGCGGCCAUGGCGCGGCGCAGCGCGCGACCCUGCGCCUCGGGCCUGUGCGUGUUCGUGUCGGUGUACGCGGGGCUGUUCGCGGUGGCGGGCGUGGUGCUGUUCGGCUCGCUGCCCCAGCUGCGCCGCGAGGAGGCGCCGCAGGGCGAGCAGGGCAGCCACGGGCUGGCGUGGCCGCGAGCCAACCUGAGCCGCUGGCCGGCGGGCGAGCUGGACUGCGCGGCGCUGCAGGAAGCCAGGGACCUGGAGUUCGUGGCGGCUGGCUGGACCAAGGCCGUGUACAGGGCGCGCCUGCGCGGCCGGCAGGUGGCCGUCAAGACGGUCAACCUCAACGGACACGACAUCCGCGAGUGCCUGAAGCGCGCGGGCGCCACCCUGCCCGCGUGCUACCGGCGCGCCGCCGCCAAGAUCCUCAAGGAGAUCAUCCUGCUGACCGAGCUGCGACACGACCACGUGAUCCAGGUGCUGGGGUCGUGCGUGCCGGAUGCUGUGGGUCCAGUGGCCAUGGUGACGGAGCUGGGUGACCCCCUGGACACGGUGAGACUGCUGCAGCUGUCCUGGGAGGACCGGCUCAGGCUGGCGCUGGGCACGGCACACAUCCUGCACCACCUCGCGCACUCGCCGCUCGGCUCGCUCGCCAUGAACGACUUCAGGCGGCAGCAGUUCGUGCUGGUGGGCGGCGCGCUCAAGCUGUCCGAUGUGGACGACAUGAGCCUGGGCGAGCCGGCCUGCGCCUCGGAUCUGGACUGCGCCGCGCCGCAGCUCAACGCCACGCCCAGGCUGCGCUGCAAGGAGGCGCGCUGCGAGGGGCACAACGAGCGCCUGAACAUCUGGCACGCGGGCAGACACCUGGUGCGCCAGCUGCUGCCCCUGAGCGCGCCGGCCUCGCUGGAGCCGCUGGUGCAGGAGCUGGUGGCGGCCUACUCGCGCCCGGGCGCCUGGGACUCCGCGCGCAUCCUGGCGGCCACUCGCGGCCUCGUGGGGCGCUUCGUGUCGGGCCGCUACCUGGCCGCCCGCCCCCCGCCCCCGGGAGUCGCCGGCCUAGGGUUCCAGGUGGUGGCGGACAGCGACCUGCCGGGCCAGUUCGACUACCGCUGCCACGACUCCACCUCGGCGGUCGGUUGCGUGGCGUCCGUGUUCGACGAGCGCGAGGCGGCCGAGCGGUGCGCGCGCGACGAGGCCUGCCGCGCCGUCGUGCUGGGCCGCGACCACACCUGGACAGGAAGGACCAUCGCGAUCUUCAAGAACGGCUACGGUCCCCCGUCCACGAGACAGGGGUUCAGUCUGCUGGUGAAGAAGCCCGCUGCAUGACGGCGCUCGAAGUGAGAUCCGUGGAGCUCCGAGGACGCUCGCGACAGUGCGAGGUGCGUGCCGCCUGCCUCGAGUCGUGACACCUUGUUCAUUGCCACACACCCUUUACGUGAGACUCUUCAGCAACAUCCAGUACUCGUGUCGUGGUUCAACAGGGUAAGUCGCUGCGAAAUAAAAAGGAACUUUCUAAACACAGGAGAGUUCACGAGCUCACUAGUGUGUUGAGGAAACAUGAGGAACUGAUAAAACUUCUGUGGGAUCAGGGGCGCAACAACUAAAAUUCCAAAAGGGGGGGCAAUAUACCUUUUUAUAAAGAAUCAUCAAUCCCCCCCUAUUGAAGGGGGGGGGGGGGGGGUCCGGGGUCCUCCCCCGGGAACAUUUGUAUUUCAAGGUGGAAAAUGGUGCUAUUUAAGCAGUUUUAUUGUCUAAAAAUUGAUUACACAGCACUUUAUUUACCCCCGUUUGCCCCCACUUCAAGGUUUCAGAGGGGGGGCAACCACCCCCCCCCCCCCCGGUUGCGCCCCUGUGUGGGAUGAUAUGUCAUUAGUUGCAGUGUUACAGCCUGUUUAUUAUAUGUCUGUGCUGGCUGGAUGUAUGACUAUUGUAAUCACAUCGACUAGGUAUCGCAUCCAGCCACUAAGCAAGCUUCAGUGGUCCAACAGCAUACCUUUUGUAUGUAUUUAAAUGGCUUGUAUGUGUCUCAAAUGAUUUCAAAGAGACAUCAUAAACAGAAAACAUAUCAACGAAAAAAUUAAGCAUUCCUUACACACUUGAGUGUACUAAUGCAUUUUAGGGACAAAAGUUACAUAAUUGAUUAGAAUUAUGGACAUAUCUGUAGUUCAUGUCAUGAAAUGUACAGAGUUAAAAGUAACACUUGAACAGCUAAGUCGCUAGCACUUGCCUAAAGUGCUCACUCGUUCAACUAGAUAUAAUAACUGCAGUCGUGCAAGGUGGAGGCAGUGCAUAUUGUGAAGUACAGUCUGCUACAUAGGACUGUUUUUGUAUCCAUCACUAUAUGGGCUAACUGAUAUAACAUGGUUAGCUAAACUGUGGUAAGGUAGAGUAGAAAGUUAAAAAAAAAUUACAAAAAUAUGCUGUAAUCUAUUUUAAUUUCUAUUGAAAGUUACGGCUGUAAUUGACAUAAAAUAUAAUGGCAGGGUGGGGCCGACGUACCACAACAACUUACAGAUACACACUUGUUGUGUCAAAUAUUUGUUAUUAAAUCAUUCUCUCCAAUUCAUAAUAUAAUGUUAAAGACACGUAGAUCCAUUUAAAACAACCCAAAAAACAUAGUUUUCAUUUGUAGAGACCGGAAAAACUUGCGGAUUCAUUUCGAAAAAGGCCAAAAUUCAAAUACUUAUACCUCUGUGCUGCUAAUACUCUUCGUCUGGAUUCUGGGCCAAUGAAAGACCCUCAAAGAAAAAAAAUAUAUCACAAGUUACUAAGUUGAGUCAGUGGAGUCUGUUCUGUAACAAGGCCUUCCAGUCCCUAUUUAUUAUACUUCUAAUAAACAAACACAAUGGUUGUCCAAAUUCACUUUCCUAGUUGGCUUAAAAAUGUUUUUUAAAGGGUUUUUUUCCUUCUAAUUUUACCCUGAUUCUCUGGAGGGAUGUUUUCUACCCCCCGGACCCCUCGAUAAAAUCCUCUCUAAAAAAAAACAUAGCCCCGGAACAGUAAACUGUCUAGGACCCGCAAAUGUACGGCUUCCACUGAAACUGUGCCGUAUAACUUGCCAUAAACACACUCGUGUCAAACGAAAACAAAACAAAUCUUAUUUAACAUUUGUACUAAUUAAAAACAAAUGCAGCUAAUAAUGGCUUGAAAGCUAUGAGAGAUUUUUAACCCAAUUAUUAACUCUUUCAAUACGAUUCAUGUAUGUGAUAAAGAGUGCAGUUUUUUUAGCAUCUCAGUUGGCACUUUUACUCUGAUAAAGGGAAAUUUAUGCCCAUAUAAAUACAUUGGUUGGCUGUCAAUUAAAGAAAACUUAACAUUAUUGUUUUUAAUCAUAAUUUGCAGACUGUUAAUUGAAAUCUGGAACAAAGGAAUUUGGCCAGAUAUUUUUCUCCAAGGAAAGCAUACAGCUCAACAAACAUCAUCUUAAUGAGAGAUGUCUACACUAAUAUUGUAGUAUUCUGUUAAAGUUUGAGUAUAGAUAAGGGCAUGUAUAUGUAGCAAAAAUAUUCCGAAACUAGCUGAAAGUUUGAACACUGUAGCAUUGUCUGUGUUUCGUGCAUAUGCACCUCGGGUACAUGUCGACUGUCGCAACACCAAUCACUGUAAUUCAGUGCGGAAGCAAAAGCGUCCCGAGUGGUUCGGUCAAGUAGGGUAACGACAUCUCUCGCAGACUUCUGCCAAUCACGAGGACAAUACCACUGGUGUGGGUAUACCUUGAUACAGUCUAAUAGGCAUUAAGAUUUUUUUUUUUUUGCGAAAAAUGCCUGCCCCUAAUUAUAGAUAACCAAACAUUAUAUAUUUGAUGUGGUCGUUGUUGGUUAUUGUGUCAGGGUUUGGGAUACUCUUAAUGAAAUAAUUCUAAAAUCAACUAACCAGAGCUCUGCCUCUGCUGACUGUAAUAAGGACCGUACUUUAGAGAACAAACCUCUUUGCCAUGGAAACAACACAGAUAUGAGGACUGACUUGGAAGUAGAAUAUUUAUACGGAAAAUAUAUUUUCCCUCUAUUCACGACAAUUUUAGUAACAGGCAACUGCUAGUAACUGAAAAAAAAAAGAGGGUCUAUGUUAUUUGUUUGUGCUAGAUGUGUGUUGAAUAAACUAGAAAUUAAUUAUCGAAACUAGUCAUAAACUAGACACUGACACAUUAUCAGUGGUCUGUGAUAAAACUUACAGGUUAUGUAUUUAUAAAAUAUUAAAUGUAAAGAUGUAAAAAAAAAUGUUACUAUGUAUAUGUGUGUUUGUAUGUAUAAUGUAUAUUUAAUACAUAAAUUUAUACUUGAUAUAAUGUAUUUUAUAUGAAAUACAGUAAGUGUCCAUAUGAGGUAUGGUAGAGUAAAAUGCUUUUUAUUAUUUUAAUUUUAAUACAACAGUUGCAAACUAGUGUAUUUUUAUUUCUGUACCUGUGAUCAAGAAAUACAAUUAAAUGUUCUGACUAUGAUUACAGCUGUAUUACAUAAUGUUACGCUCGACCCAUUUCACACAAUUUACAGUUGAGCUUCAAACUGUCUGCUGAUGCAGAAUGUUACAAAUGACGUUAAGUACGUAACAGUCAAAUAAACCACUAGGGUGUUGCCGUACGAGAUAGUCUGCCUGCCAGAUGCCGCUCGAGACGUUGCUUCACUUGCUGCCUUGUUGUUGCAAACUGACUGGAAGGUUGAGGGUAAUAACUGGGUACGUUGUGUCGAGCCAUCUUCAAGGCCCUGCGUCUGUAUCCGUGUGUAUCCGGCGCUGCGACCGUGUGUUCUCUGGCCAGUCCCCUGUCAUGCCUGUAUUUUUACAGUGUUUCCAUCCCAGCCACAUAUUCCUUAACAAAAAUUGCUCCUUCCACCUAUUAAAUUUAUGCCCUGUGAUUUGUGAACAUUCUUUACACGCUAAUGAAAAUAUGUAGGCUACCUUAAUUGCAACACAUGUUAUAAACAUAACAAAAAUCUUAAACACAUAAACAAAAUUGUACACAAAAUGGGGAUUAAAAUUUCAUAGAAUCACAGAUAUAGAAUCAUUUCUUACACUAAUGGUAGCAGGUUAAAAACUAAACUCCACAUAGAGAACUCAAAAUAUUGAUCAAACUAUAUUUGGUGUUUUUUGUUAUGUUUACAAACAGAUGAUACAUUAGUUGAAAAACAUGUUUUAGGUAUUUCCAUUGUUUCCUUUGAAUUUUUUGACCAAAUUAUCAUAUUAAUAAAUGUAAAUUCAUUAUUAAAUAUCAAUUAUACAGUAUUUAGAGAUUUUUAAAGCAAUUUCCAAGACUAAAUAAAAAAAAAUUCAUAUAUUUGGCUAAAUAAUUACAAUUUGAAUUAUAUUUUGUUGUUGCAAAUGCAAUUUUAGAAUAACUCUAGUGAUUACACACAUUAGCAGGAAGAAAUAAAAAGGAAUACAAAUUACAUAAAUGAUUUCAGUUCUUUUUUAUUAAAGAUAACAAACAGGCUCCAUACAAAAUACAACUAUGUACAUACUUCGCACAUCUAUGACUACCAAGAAAGCAUUUCUACAAAACUUGUCAAAAUGAAAUAAUUUUCUUAAGUAUCCUUAUAAAAGUUAACAAAAAUAUUACCACACAAAGUUGCGUACCAGAUGUGCACGCCCCUCCAAGUUUUAAAAUAAAUUGUUCGUUCUUCGAGUUCUAACAGCAGCUUGUGACUUGGAGAUCUGCAAAGUUUAUUAUAAUCUGUGAAAAGUUACUAGGUUGCAAAUAAGCUUCUGUGAAUCAUUUUUGUAUUAAAAUGACAUCUUGAAUUGAAUAUCACGAUAUUUACUACAUCAAACCUUUUUCGAAAAAAAAUUACAAUACAAUUUUUUUUCCACUAUUUAAAUAAGUCCAAGAAAAAUUGAUUCAAAAUAUAGUAAAAUAAAAAAAGGAAACUAUUGAACCAUAAUAGUGUGGCACAAAAUGCAAGAAAAAAAUUGGCAGAGACUUUGAUCUGAUUAUGUACACAUAGUAUUUUUCAUAAAAUCAUAUUCAUAGAUUAUAUGUUGCAUACAAAAAGCACUCAAACUUCUCAAUGAAUCAUCUUUUUCACUAUCUGAAUCUACGUAUUAUUUAUCAAUAAAUAAAAAAUAAAUUAUUUGGUAAACAUGUUGAAUCAAAUAUCCAGUUAUUCAUGUACUAAAUCAAAUACCUAGUUGCUAACAAGUGGAAUUGUGAGCUUACAAGUUGCUGAUUUGUUGAUCUGUAAGUUUGCAAUGUUUGUUAAACUUAAUUUGGUAAAAAAAAAUACUUAAAAUAAAUAGCAAUAAUGUGGCGUGAGACUAAUACCAUUACAUAAGGCAAUUUUGAAGAAGUUCUGACAUAUCUACCUAUUUACUUGGAUCCACAAAAAUGUUAGUAGUUACGUAUUUAGUUGUUUUUUUUUUGUGUUUGGUACAUUAAAAAAUUGGUUGUCUGUAAAGUCGGUUUACGGAUGAUAGUUUAAUGUGACGUCAUAACAAAACAUUGAUGAAAUAAUUGAUCCAGAAGAAAAUGAAAUAUAUUCGGCCUGAGACUGAGCCGUAAUAGGUUUUUGCAACCAAACCAUUUAGGCAUUAAAAAUAUUAUAUUCUUUGAGGAAGAAAUUUUUUUUAAUUUUUCUAUCUUUUGUAUGAUAAAAUCUACCUCUGCAUACUUUUAUAAAUAAAUUGAAUCAAUUUUAUUGAAUUAUCACUAUUUUGUAUGGAUACAAAGGAGUGAAAUGAAAUGUACAAUUCAAUUAAUAAAUUUACUUUUAUUUGCAUUCAUUAAUUCAAAUAUAUUUAUUACUUUUGAAAUGUUGCGUGCGACGUAUUUAUUUUUACAAGUACAAAAAAAAUUUGCAGCUGCCGAGAAUCGAACUGAUAACCUUUGGAUUGGAAGUCAUCUACGCUAACUACACGACCACAAGUCCAUUUUGACAAUAAAUGUUUCAGAUGGUCUACAUUAAUAAUAUUCCUCGCACAAUAUUCGUUUGAAUUUCUUUUAACUAGCAUAUUCUCUGUUGGACUUGAAAUAUUUACACGCUCAUGGGCUCAUAACUAUAAUACGGUGUGUGAUUUAGUUGAUCAAAUAAUAACUCAUGACAAAUAAUUACCAAUUUCAAACUAAAGCGUGAAAAGUAUCAUACCAGCAAUAAAUAUUUAGUUACACAGCUAAAACAAUACUCAUACAACACUGUUUAAAUAUACUGAUUUACACUUGUAAUUAAAAUAAUACGUACUUGUAAGAACGCCAUUUCCUUGUGAACAUACUCCCGUGGCGCGGUGCACAACAAUAACCUGGAACCAGUACGCCGCCACGUGCCGGCCGAGUUCUCUGUACCGUCCGCCAACAUACCAGAGAGAUGCCACGCAUGCGUACACAUCCGUAGUGGGACAAUUUUGUGCGUGCAGCCAGCGUUCAUCGAUUUAUUAGACGUCACGUCAAAAAAUAAUUGGAAUUAAUGUGCAUUGGUGUAACAGGUGGGUCUUAUUCCUGGAACUAUCAAAUUACAGGUAUUUCAAGGUGUACCAAACUCCCCAUUUUAGGUUCAAACUGCAAAAAAACUUAGUUUGUCAAAUUUUCCACAGAAAUGAACUUACUUAUUCUAGGUAUAUUUAUAGUCAAUAUAAUAAAGCCUUUCCCCUGAAAAUAAUUUGGUAUAAUUUACAUUGCUCGUAAAAAAUCAAAAUAUGAAUUGGAAUAAUAUUUUCAACAAAAAUGUAAGGUUUAUAGCAAGCAUACCUGUUGGAUUAAACUUUCUACUGAAUCAAAUUCACAGGUUCUCCGACUUCUAUCUUGUGGUCAGUGGUUGAAAUAAUUUAUCGAAUACAUGCUUUUUGAAAGGAAAAAAAAAUAUUUUGUAAGCCUGUAACGGGAUGCUUGCCCUGCCGUCGUGAGCACACGGAGAACCUUGGAAAGACUCGCCAAGUGAAGCCCUGGAAGUGCAGUGACGAUGUCUGCGCUACGAGGGCCCGGCCCCCGGACUGCUCACCCAGAGACCUCCAGGGGUGCAGCUACUGGAGCAGCGAGUGAGCGGUGAGGCAGUUGCGCUCGCCAGGCCGAAGAAGAGUCGUCACCAGCUCGCCCAGCGGAGCUGACGGACGAGAGCAGCAGGAGAGGAUGGCGACGAGAGUCGACACUCCCAGCACAUCGUGCACUGGAGCGGUCGAUCUCUUAGCGACUGAGGAUCUCGCCGGCGGAGCAGCGAGUGGGCAACGGGAUGAAAACAUUAGGUUUGUUGCUGUAUGGGGUUGUCUGCAGCAUGGCGUUCACUGGAGUGGUUGCAGUUUCGGCUUGGUGAAGUUCUGCUCCGUGAGACUGCAGUAGCACUGUCUCCAUCUCGAGACAGCCAGCCUGCCCAGCAUGGCUGGCCAGCCAGCCAAUCCAGCCCAGCCCAGCCAGCCCAGCCCAGCCAGCCCAACAUAACUAACUAGCCAGACAGCCAGGCCAGCAAUCCAGCCAGUCAGCCCAGCAUGGCCGGCCAGCUAGUACAGCCAGCAUGGCCACAAGCCAGUCAUCCAUCCAUACAUGAAUCCAAGCCAGCCAAGAAAGCCAAGCCGGCCAAACAGCUGGGAUAGCCAGGCAAGCCAUCCAUCCAAACCAGCCAUCCAUCCAGUCAGCUAUCCAUGCAUGCACCAGCCAGCCAUCCUAGUUAGGCAGCCUGGAAAACCUAGCCAGUCAGCCAACCAUCCAUCCAUCUAUGCAUCCAGCAAGCCAUCCAGCCCCACCUGACCAUCCAUUCAUCAAUCCUUCUGCCCAGUCUGGCCGGCCAUCCAGCCAGCCAGCAUGGUUAUAAGGCCAUCCAUGCAGCCAUCCGUCCAGCCAGCCAAACCUUUCGGCUAGUGAGGCAAGCCUAGCCCACAUGGUCAGCUGAGCCAGAAAGCCAAGCUAGCUAUCCAUGCCAAAUAGCUUUAUCAGCCAUCCAUCCCGCCCAGGCUGGACUUCCUCCCAGCUAACCAGUUUGGCCAGCCCAGCAUGGCCGGCCAACCAGGCUAGCCAGUCAGCCAGGUCAACCAGCCACCCAGGCCAGCAAUUCAGCCAAUCUAGCAAGCCAUCCUCCUCCAUUCAUUCAGCCAUCCAUCCAUCCAUCCAUCCGCUUAGCCAGGCUGGCCAGCCAGCUAAAUGAUGUACUUAAUAAAUCAACAUUUUAUAAAACUUACAUUUGCUUGCUGCCACUGAGAACGAUAAACGCGGACUGCGUUUCUUUCUGUUUCUGCUGCAGCAAGUUGAGCGUGCGCAGAGGAGUGUCGGUGGAGCUCAUCUGCUUCAUCAGCUGCAACCAGCACACAGCACACACUUCAGUACAGCUCAAACAAACAGUACAAACAAACAGGUUUUUCUCAAUUGAAUUUUUCUACACAUGCUUAUUCACCCAUACAGUUUUGAAGCAUGCACAUAUCCAUUUAAUUUCUUGUGACUACUUAUUGAAAUUACAGAUAGUGUUUUAUUUUUGCCAGAAAAAAUCAAUUGUACGUGAAACUUUUCUACUCCUGUCCCGCAAAGGCGCGGCUCACAUUCAUAAAGCAUAGCUUGGGUCACGAUUAUGUGCUGAAUUGCGGCAGGGGUGAAAUAAUACUGCAAAUAAUGUCAAUACACCAUUUAACCGAAUUACAAGUUAAUUCACCAUAAAGUACCGCUAUGCAACAAAAAUCAUGAAAUAGUAUAUCUAAAUAUAUAAUCAAAACUCAACAUAUAUUACAAAUAUUAGUGAUGGGUUGAGACUCGAAAAAUCGAGUGAGUCGAGUCGAGCCGGCGAAACUAAACUCGACUCGAAAACCGAGUUGAUUAAGAUCGUGUCCUCGAGUCUCGUCAAAGUUUAGUUUUUGCCUCGACUUUAAUGUUGCACAAUUUCCAAUAGUGAAGGUAGGUACUUAUCCGAAACCAUGCACUUUAAAAUAAAAUAUAAUGUAUUAUUUAGGCCUACCUAGUGGAAAACCUCUGAUCCAACACUGAAAACCUUGAAAACGAAGUCGGAAGAUUAUUUAUUUUUGAUCGUGUGUAACCGCAAACAGUGUAUCCCAUCCUUCAAUAUGCACUUAAUAUUAAUAACUGCAACAAAAUACCUUUAUUUAACUAUAACGGAAUUUAAAAAAUGUUCUCUAGAUUCAGUCAUGAACAAGACCACGUUAAUAUUUGGGCAGCUUUGGAAGUAAAUAAUAUUUACUACUAAACAGUAACACUAGAUAGCCGCCAUUUUAACUCCGGGCCAAUGGCCUACUUAAGUCAUCAUACAGCCAGGGAAUGUUGCCCCUUUGGCAAAUUGAUAUCAACAAUAAUUGAAAUCUCCAACCAGUUUUCCAUGGCCGAACGGAAAAUUGAGGCUGCUGAAGUUUAUGUUUACACUUGAGUUUGCUUCGCCGGCGUCGUAUUAAUCAUAAACGGUUUAGUAUUAGUGGAAUAGAUAUGUUUGUACGGCCUGGGACGUCAAAAAGUGACGAAUAGAAAUCAAAAGCAGAGAUUUGGGAAUUUUUUGAAAAAUUUGAUCAUCAGACAGCUAAAUGCAAGUGCUGCAAAAAAUACAAGACUCAGUCAUCAUCAAAUUCAUGUCUGAUUCGUCACUUGGAUGUGCAUUUUCACUUAAAGCGUCAGUAUGAAGAUUAAAAAAAAAUACAAAAAUCAAAAUGUGUAGGGAAACCUUCAAUAAUUCAAAGUUUUCAUAUUUAAUUACAUAUAUUAUAUUGAGAAAUAUUUAACUUAUAUUUAUUUCGCUCAUCAUUCUGCCACUUGAACCUCGCUAAGUUUGACUCAUCUCAACAAAUUUCCAUGAGUUCGGCUCGAGUUCGACUCGAAGACAAAUUUCUUUGUUUAACUCGAACUCGACUCGAUGCUGAAAUAGGGUGACUCAACCCAUCACUAACAAAUAUGUAAUCUUUUAAUAUUUUUCAUGUAAUGAAAUUAAUUAAUUUUUUUUAUAUUGCAACUAUAGUAUCUAACUCAUAUUUUAAAUCUUCCGACAUAGAAAAAUUUUACAAAUACACAUUUACUGGCUAUUUAUUUUUGUUAUCAGUAGUUAUUACAAACUAUUAUAUGGUAUAAGUGUA